rnacentral:lncRNA from 10 species
GAAGCUCAAAGAUUCCCAGAUAGCUGUAAUUCAACAAGGUCUUAUUCAAGGCACGUUAUAGUAAAACUGUCAAAAGUCAAAGACAAACAACCAGUUAGCUGCCUUCUAUAUUUGAAGCCAGCAUUUCACAAGCAGCAUUGCUUAAAGAGCAAUAUCUCUAAUAGAGGUUCAUGGUUCCUUGAAAACAAAAUAUUACAUGGUCAAAUAAGUUUCAAGACCACUAUAUUACUAUAGUUCUUCCGGUGACAAAGAUAAAUUCUAGCUGGAGAAAAUAACAUAUACAUGAUAACAUUAUAAAGUGAUGCAUACUAUAUAACAGAAACAUAUACAUUGUGCAUUGAAUAGGGAGCAACAGACUUUUUUUAAAACACAGUGCUUAUUUGUUCUGAGAACCCAUUAAUGCAGAACACAUUUGGGAAUUUAUAUCUGGUGAUAUAAAUAAUUUUCUGACUCUGCCCCCUCCUACCAACUUGAGAAUUUAGCUAACUUUAAGCUGUAUCAUAACAAUACAGUAUAUAAGGGGGAGGAGCCAAGAUGGCCAAAUAGGAACAGCUCUGGUCUACAGCUCCCAGUGUGAGCCACGCAGAAGACAGGUGAUUUCUGCAUUUCCUUCCUGAGCCCUACAUGUGCAUCCAGUAACUACCCCAUGCAUCCUCCCAUUCACAGCCAAAUGUAUUGCAAAAAGCAUCACCCCUUCUCCCACCCACUCCCCACAGCCACUCUACUGAUGGUCACAUUCACAUUCCCUGUAUUUGAGAACUCUCUAACAAUGGAGGAAAGACAUUACAGCAUCAGUUCAGAUUUGCCUCAGAUUCCCUAUUCUCAUGAACCGCCUUUCCUGUGAAGCAGAGCUCUGUACACAAGCCUGAAUCUACAAUCAAUAUAAAUAAAUAAAUAAAGGCAUGCAUCCAUGUAAUAGCAUUAAUAUUCAGAAAAAUUAAAUUGUUUCCUAAAUUCAGUGACUUUCAGUAACAUUUGAUUUCCUAGAAUUUCAGUCAAUUAUUUUCUGAUAAUUUUUUUUUUAAACCUGGGUUGAGAUUUUAUGUACUUUAAUCAUAUCUUGACCUCAUUCUAUUUCAGAGUUAAGGUCACCUAAAAUAUUUAUACUUUCCAUUUUCUACAGCUAUCUUGAAUAUGUGUCACUAAAUGUCCCUGUUUGCUAGUUGAGAGCCUGAGACCGGGAUAAAGGAUGUGGAGGAGAUGGUGACUGAAAGGAAAGAGGAUGAGUGGUGAAGGCAAACUCUGCUGCCUAAGACUCAACCAGGAUUCCAAAACACCUCUGGUGAGCUUAGCAACUGGUCGAUAAAAGUAGAUCACUUAGAUUAAUUAUAACAGAUGGUUUUUUUAAAAAAAAAAAAGGAAAGCAGGCUGUCAAACACAGCACUUUCAGAUGGAACUUCUCUGAGACCUCUAACUAACUGCACGUUCCGGAUCACAUAGUAGUUCUAUUUUUUAUUUGAUGAAUCACCAGCUCCCACCAACAGAUCAAAUCAAUACCAAGGAACGCCAAGGUUAUCCAGACAGAGC